rnacentral:rRNA from 1 species
GACGAACGCUGGCGGCGUGCUUAACACAUGCAAGUCGAACGGAAAGGCCCUGCUUGCAGGGUACUCGAGUGGCGAACGGGUGAGUAACACGUGGGUGAUCUGCCCUUCACUUCGGGAUAAGCCUGGGAAACUGGGUCUAAUACCGGAUAGGAGCCAUUUUUAUUGUGAUGGUUGGAAAGUUUUUUCGGUGUAGGAUGAGAUCGCGGCCUAUCAGCUUGUUGGUGGGGUAAUGGCCUACCAAGGCGGCGACGGGUAGCCGGCCUGAGAGGGUGGACGGCCACAUUGGGACUGAGAUACGGCCCAGACUCCUACGGGAGGCAGCAGUGGGGAAUAUUGCACAAUGGGCGCAAGCCUGAUGCAGCGACGCCGCGUGGGGGAUGACGGCCUUCGGGUUGUAAACUCCUUUCGCUAGGGACGAAGCUUUUUGCGACGGUACCUAGAUAAGAAGCACAGGCUAACUACGUG